AACGAACGCUGGCGGCAUGCCUAACACAUGCAAGUCGAACGAGACCUUCGGGUCUAGUGGCGCACGGGUGCGUAACGCGUGGGAACCUGCCCUUAGGUUCGGAAUAACUCCCCGAAAGGGGUGCUAAUACCGGAUAAUGUCUUCGGACCAAAGAUUUAUCGGCUUUGGAUGGGCCCGCGUUGGAUUAGCUAGUUGGUAGGGUAAAAGCCUACCAAGGCGACGAUCCAUAGCUGGUCUGAGAGGAUGAUCAGCCACACUGGGACUGAGACACGGCCCAGACUCCUACGGGAGGCAGCAGUGGGGAAUAUUGGACAAUGGGCGAAAGCCUGAUCCAGCAAUGCCGCGUGAGUGAUGAAGGCCUUAGGGUUGUAAAGCUCUUUUACCCGGGAUGAUAAUGACAGUACCGGGAGAAUAAGCUCCGGCUAACUCCGUG
rnacentral:rRNA from 1 species